rnacentral:rRNA from 1 species
ACGAGUGGCGAACGGGUGAGUAAUGUAUCGGAACGUACCAUUCAGUGGGGGAUAACGUAGCGAAAGUUACGCUAAUACCGCGUAUUCUGUGAGCAGGAAAGCAGGGGAUCGCAAGACCUUGCGCUGAUUGAGCGGCCGAUAUCAGAUUAGCUAGUUGGUGAGGUAAAGGCUCACCAAGGCGACGAUCUGUAGCGGGUCUGAGAGGAUGAUCCGCCACACUGGAACUGAGACACGGUCCAGACUCCUACGGGAGGCAGCAGUGGGGAAUUUUGGACAAUGGGGGCAACCCUGAUCCAGCCAUGCCGCGUGAGUGAAGAAGGCCUUCGGGUUGUAAAGCUCUUUCGGCCGGGAAAAAAUCGCAUGGGUUAAUACCCUGUGUGGAUGAUGGUACCGGAAUAAGAAGCACCGGCUAACUACGUGCCAGCAGCCGCGGUAAUACGUAGGGUGCGAGCGUUAAUCGGAAUUACUGGGCGUAAAGCGUGCGCAGGCGGUUUUGUAAGACAGGCGUGAAAUCCCCGGGCUCAACCUGGGAACUGCGCUUGUGACUGCAAGGCUGGAGUACGGCAGAGGGGGGUGGAAUUCCACGUGUAGCAGUGAGAUGCGUAGAGAUGUGGAGGAACACCAAUGGCGAAGGCAGCCCCCUGGGUCGAUACUGACGCUCAUGCACGAAAGCGUGGGUAGCAAACAGGAUUAGAUACCCUGGUAGUCCACGCCCUAAACGAUGUCAACUAGGUGUUGGGUGGGUAAAACCAUUUAGUACCGUAGCUAACGCGAGAAGUUGACCGCCUGGGGAGUACGGCCGCAAGGUUAAAACUCAAAGGAAUUGACGGGGACCCGCACAAGCGGUGGAUGUGGAUUAAUUCGAUGCAACGCGAAAAACCUUACCUACCCUUGACAUGUCCAGGAGCCCGAAGAGAUUUGGGUGUGCUCGAAAGAGAGCUGGAACACAGGUGCUGCAUGGCUGUCGUCAGCUCGUGUCGUGAGAUGUUGGGUUAAGUCCCGCAACGAGCGCAACCCUUGUCGUUAAUUGCCAUCAUUCAGUUGGGCACUUUAACGAGACUGCCGGUGACAAACCGGAGGAAGGUGGGGAUGACGUCAAGUCCUCAUGGCCCUUAUGGGUAGGGCUUCACACGUCAUACAAUGGUCGGUACAAAGGGUUGCCAACCCGCGAGGGGGAGCUAAUCCCAUAAAGCCGAUCGUAGUCCGGAUCGCAGGCUGCAACUCGCCUGCGUGAAGUCGGAAUCGCUAGUAAUCGUGGAUCAGCAUGUCACGGUGAAUACGUUCCCGGGUCUUGUACACACCGCCCGUCACACCAUGGGAGCGGGUUCCGCCAGAAGUAGGUAGCCUAACCGCAAGGGGGGCGCUUACCA